CCUACGGGAGGCAGCAGUAGGGAAUCUUCCACAAUGGGCGAAAGCCUGAUGGAGCAACGCCGCGUGGGUGAAGAAGGUCUUCGGAUCGUAAAACCCUGUUGUUAGAGAAGAAAGUGCGUGAGAGUAACUGUUCACGUUUCGACGGUAUCUAACCAGAAAGCCACGGCUAACUACGUGCCAGCAGCCGCGGUAAUACGUAGGUGGCAAGCGUUAUCCGGAUUUUUUGGGCGUAAAGGGAACGCAGGCGGUCUUUUAAGUCUGAUGUGAAAGCCUUCGGCUUAACCGGAGUAGUGCAUUGGAAACUGGUAGACUUGAGUGCAGAAGAGGAGAGUGGAACUCCAUGUGUAGCGGUGAAAUGCGUAGAUAUAUGGAAGAACACCAGUGGCGAAAGCAGCUCUCUGGUCUGUAACUGACGCUGAGGUUCGAAAGCGUGGGUAGCAAACAGGAUUAGAUACCCUAGUAGUC
rnacentral:rRNA from 1 species